UACGUAGGUGGCAAGCGUUGUCCGGAUUUACUGGGCGUAAAGCGCGCGCAGGCGGAUUGGUCAGUCCGGGGUGAAAUCUCACGGCUCAACUGUGAGCGGUCCCCGGAUACUGCCAGUCUCGAGGUGUCUAGAGGAGAGCGGAAUUCCCGGUGUAGUGGUGGAAUGCGUAGAUAUCGGGAAGAACACCAGUGGCGAAAGCGGCUCUCUGGUCCGGUACUGACGCUGAGGUGCGAAAGCGUGGGGAGCAAACAGG
rnacentral:rRNA from 1 species